UACGGGAGGCAGCAGUGGGGAAUAUUGGACAAUGGGCGCAAGCCUGAUCCAGCAAUGCCGCGUGGGUGAAGACGGCCUGCGGGUUGUAAAGCCCUUUGGGUGGGGAAGAACGGUGGUUUGCGAACAGCGGACUGCUCUGACAUUACCCACGGAACAAGCACCGGCUAACUCCGUGCCAGCAGCCGCGGUAAUACGGAGGGUGCGAGCGUUAAUCGGAAUUACUGGGCGUAAAGCGUGCGUAGGCGGAAGGGUCAGUCGGCCGUGAAAGCCCCGGGCUCAACCUGGGAACGGCGGUUGAGACGGCCCGUCUGGAGUGGGCUAGAGGAUCGUGGAAUUCCGGGUGUAGCGGUGAAAUGCGUAGAGAUCCGGAGGAACACCGAUGGCGAAGGCAGCGAUCUGGGGCCACACUGACGCUGAGGCACGAAAGCGUGGGGAGCAAACAAGAUUAGAUACCCUGGUAGUCCACGCGGUAAACGAUGAGCACUAGACGCCGGUGGGGUGACCUGUCGGUGUCGCAGCUAACGCGCUAAGUGCUCCGCCUGGGGAGUACGGCCGCAAGGUUGAAACUCAAAUGAAUUGACGG
rnacentral:rRNA from 1 species